CGAAAUUGCAUUACGAGUAAAGAUGCUCGUUACGCGCGGCAGGACGAAAAGACCCCGGGACCUUCACUACAACUUGGUAUUGGUGCUCGAUACGGUUUGUGUAGGAUAGGUGGGAGACUGUGAAGCGCACACGCCAGUGUGUGUGGAGUCAUUGUUGAAAUACCACUCUGAUCGUAUUGGGCCUCUAACCUCGAACCGUAUAUCCGGUUCAGGGACAGUGCCUGGCGGGUAG
rnacentral:rRNA from 1 species